AUUGAACGCUGGCGGCAGGCCUAACACAUGCAAGUCGAGCGAGCGGCGGACGGGUGAGUAAUGUCUGGGGAUCUGCCCGAUGGAGGGGGAUAACUACUGGAAACGGUAGCUAAUACCGCAUACUAUCGGAUGUACCCAUAUGGGAUUAGCUAGUAGGUGGGGUAAAGGCUCACCUAGGCGACGAUCCCUAGCUGGUCUGAGAGGAUGAUCAGCCACACUGGGACUGAGACACGGCCCAGACUCCUACGGGAGGCAGCAGUGGGGAAUAUUGCACAAUGGGCGCAAGCCUGAUGCAGCCAUGCCGCGUGUAUGAAGAAGGCCUUCGGGUUGUAAAGCACUUUCAGCGAGGAGGCGUUACUCGCAGAAGAAGCACCGGCUAACUCCGUGCCAGCAGCCGCGGUAAUUC
rnacentral:rRNA from 1 species